GGGAAAUAUUUGCUCACCAUAAACUGAGAACUAGUCUAAUUUAUUAAAUGUUCCUUUAAACCUCUAUUUUUUCAUAUUCAAUUAAACCACAGGCUUAUGUUAUACCUUCACCUCCCAAAAUUUCUCAAUAAAUUUUCAUGAAAAUGUCCAUACAGUAAAAUUUCUUUGUGUCCAUGUAGUCCUACUGUCACCUACUGUAGAUCUAUUCCUCUAAUUCAGGCUUUCUCUUCUAAUUUUUUGGUGAAGUUUUCAGAGAUAAUGUCAGGUCUUGCAUAUAAACUGAUAAAGCCUAAUUUAACCUCAGUUCCACCUUGGUUGGUCAUUUCUACUAUGGUUAGCCAUCACUUGUCAGACUUAAGUAUGUAUUGUGAGUGUGGUAGAAUAGUGGUUAAGCCGCUAGGCUAGCAUUCAGUUAAUCUUGACACUACUGUGCCAUGAGCUUAAACCCCGCAAUGACAAUAUGGGGAAUUAUUCUCCAUGUAAUUCAAUCUGGAAAUUUAAAAUUUAAGUUUCAGAAAUACUACUAUGAAAUUUCUGGGUUGUUAAAUAGAAAAUCCAGUUGUUUAAACUCCUUUAGGUAAGAUUUCUGCCAUUCCUACUUGGUUAGGCGUAUAUGUAAUGAAUAUGUGAUUCAUUCAGCAAUGUUGUAACAGCCCCCACAGUUUACUGUCUUUUGGAGAAUAGCAAUGAAAGUUGAUACUGUGAGCAAAAUCCACAUCUUGACCCAGAAUAGGUAAAUGAAACUCAAGUAUUGAAAAGUCUAUGACAGUUUUCUCCUGUUAGAUUGUGUAAUUACGUUAUUUUUGUGUACUGUGUUUCAAACUUUCCACUGCUUGCAACAAAGUUUCUGACUCCAUGUUUUCCCCCUUAUAAAGAUGGGGUACUGUCAUCCCUGUAACAUCAUGUUGAGACCUUAAAACCUGGCUUAAAUAUGUUGAGAUCUUACUGUUCCAGUUCUUUGUUGAUCAUCCUAUUUAAUGCCACAUAACCAUGAAGUACAGUAUCUAUCUCACCAGUCAUGUUAGUAUUUCUCAUGCAGCUCCCAGCUCACGUAUAAUGGCUCCUGACAUCUGUAAUCUGAUUUUUUUUCUCUUCUGAUUUGGAGUUUAUUGUGCGUUUUGGGCUUUUAUUGCAUUUUCUGUGCAUGGAUAAAAAUAAUUGUGACUUUAAAAUGCUGAGCAAAAUGUUACUAUUUCAUCUCUCUUGCAGACCAGCAGCCUAGAUAGAAACCAUUCUUUCAGUCAAAAAGAUGAAGGCUGUGAUGAAAGCAAAAAAAGCAUAUACUAUGGUAGACAGAAUAUGUGGAAAGAGAAACAGAGUUUACCGCACUGAACAAGCCCUUCUGGCUGAACAAAGCGCACCAUCCAGCGACCCCACCAUUUAACUUGCGGUUUAAGGCUGGUGAGCCUCAGCGACUUCUGGCUAGUGGCCAGUGAAACAAAGAAAACAACUAAAUACAUUGUUAAUCACACUUUUUCUGGUAAUAAAUUAUCAUUGCAAACAGUAGCAUGUGAUUUCCUUUGGUCUUGGGGGCAAUUUGAUGUGGCAGAACCAAAGCAAGGCAGCAGGCCUGUUGCCAAGUGUGAGAAAGAUUGAUUUAAGAUACAGGCCAAAUUGGAAAGGUCGGGUACAGGCCGAAUCUAGGUGGCGGGAUCCAAGCCCCAGAGCAUAUUGAAGCGACAGAACCCAAAGUUUGGACGACAACUUGGGCACUGGGCCAGAUUGAACAGAGCAGGGUGUUGGGGCCCAAGACGAGGGAUGGGCUUGUUCAUGAGGUUUACUCAGCACUGUGCUGAACUAAGGGCCUGGAUAGAUUCUCUUUGGACUUCAGUUCAGUAUACUAUUUGCUGACAUCUAUUGUUUACAUGGUUUUUUUUCCUUUGCACAUUGGUGUUUGACAGUCUUUUUUAAUGGGUUUUUUUGGGUUCCUUUGUUUUGUCAACUAUCUGUAAGGAGAUGAAUCUCAACGUUAUAUAAUGUAUACAUACCUUGAUAAUAAAUGUACUUUGAGCUUGAAUCAGAGGACCAAUUAACCUACUAAUCAGAGCAACACCACAAAAUGCUGGAGGAACUCAGCAGGUCAGUUAGCAUCAAUGAAAAUGAAUAAACUGUCGCUAUUUCAGGCUGAGACCCUUCAUCAGGACUGGGGAAGAAGGGGGAGGAGUAUAAACUAGAAUGUGAUAAGUGAAGCCAUGUGGUUGGGGGAAAAGAAUGAAGAAAGAAGCUGGAGGUGAUAGGUGGAAAAAUUAAAGGGUGGAGAAGGAAUCUAAUAGGAAAGAAAGUGGACCAUGGGAAAAAGGAACGGAGGAGAGGCACCGGGGAGGUGAUAAGCGAAGAGAAGAGGUAAGAGGGGUGUCAGAGUGGGGAAUUAAUUAGAAGAUGGAGAAAUCCAUGUUCAUGCCAGCCUCAUGGCUGUAUAGGUGGCUAAGGACCGACUUAUUGCAAUGGGGAUGGCCACUGGGAAAUCCUGCAUUUUCCUGUCACUUUAACGCUAUCCCUGUUAAGGCAGUGGGAAGAUGGGGUGAGUGUAGAUGUUUGAAAAAUGGAGGAGAUGCAGAUGAAAGCAACAUCUUGUCCUCACCUACCACCCUGAUUUAAUUUCUGAUUCUUGGGGUUCUUCCAGGAGUCAAGAAUGAUGAGUAGUCUUAAUUCUAAGAUUUCAGCUCAUUUUAGGGUACAAACAAACAUACCGUAGAUUCCGGACUACAGAGCGCACCUGAUUAAAAGCCGCACACUCUAAUUUUAGAAAGAAAAUCAAUUUUGUACUUGUACAGGCCGUACCGGAUUUUAAGCCGCAGGUGUCCCACGUUGUAAUAUGAGAUAUUUACACAGAAAGAUAUUACACUUGAGGAUUUUUUAACUUUUAAUUAAAUCCGUAUGGUAACAUAAACAAAUACAUAUUGCAAAUGCUUUUUUUCGAACAGUGCCUGUAACACAGCUACUUUUAAAUAUACAUACGUAUCGGUAACACACAAAUUACGUUGCAUAUACUUUUUUACUGAACAGUGCACGAACAACAUUCCAAUAUCUCCUAGCGACUGGUAAAAAAAUAUAUAUACUGCAGCCUACCAGGAAAAGUUAUUGAUUGCCUUUAACUUAAAAGCUGCAUCAUAUGCUUUUCUUCGAGUGUUUUCCAUGUUGAUGAGGGUGAGUACAAAUGACUGAUUUACAAUAAUUUAAUUGUGAAAGUGCGCUUGAUUUAUCGUACAAUUUCAUUGGACCUCUGUGAAAUACUCAUCAAUUUUAUUGGUCUUGCUAUGAUCCCAGCCCCCUCCUUUGUGAGAAUCGCAAGAGCACCCAUCGAGGGGGGGGGGGGGGGGGAUAUUCCGUGACUCCUACCAAAGAACUUUAUAAGAAGAGAGUUGAGCUUCAAAUGGAACAUAGUUUAUUAUUAUCUUCUUCAAUUGAAAAUCAAUUAAUUAGGACCAGGGCUCAAUUUUAUAUUCAUAGUGACCGUACUGGUAAACUGUUAGCUAAUCAAUUAAAGGCUAUCUCGACUAAGCGACAAAUUAUUAAAAUUCGCAAAUCAGACGGUAAUUUAACUACUGAUCAUAAAGAAAUUAAUAACACCUUUCAAGAUUUUUAUAAAUCUUUAUAUCAUUCAGAAUUUGAUGGUGACCAGUCCAUGAUAGAUAAUUUUUUUAACAAUUUGAACAUUCCUAAACUGACUGAUGAAGAUCAUAGUCUGUUAGAUGCUCCUAUUUCUAUAGUGGAAAUAGGAGAGGCUAUUUCAUCAAUGAAUUCAGGGAAAGCUCCUGGUCCUGAUGGUUAUAUAGUAGAAUUUUUUAAAACUUUUUCUUCUUUGCUUUCUCCUUGGUUAUGUGAAAUUUUUAAUGAUGCGUUUGCUAAGAAGAGAUUACCUCAAUCUUUUUAUGAAGCUAAUAUUUCUCUAAUUCUUAAAAAAGAUAAAGAUCCUACUUUAUGUACAUCUUAUCGCCCUAUAUCAUUAUUAAAUGUAGAUUCUAAGAUUCUUACAAAAAUUUUAGCUAUUAGAUUAGAAAAAGUACUGUCUCAGAUUAUUUCAGAAGAUCAAACUGGUUUUAUGAGGAAUCGGUAUUCCUUUUUUAAUGUUAGAAAAUUGAUUAAUAUAAUUCAUACUUCACCACCCACAAUCCCAGAAUGUGUUAUUUCAUUAGAUGCUGAAAAAGCUUUUGAUAGAGUUGAAUGGAUAUAUUUAUUUAAUACAUUGAGAAAUUUUAAUUUUAGUCCUAAUUUUAUAUCAUGGAUUAAAUUAAUAUAUCAUAAACCUGUUGCUUCUGUUUUUACGAAUAACCACAGAUCCUCUUUUUUUCAAUUAUCUCGUGGUACGAGACAGGGUUGUCCCUUAAGUCCUUUAUUAUUUAAUAUUGCAUUAGAACCUUUAGCUAUUGCUAUUCGUGAAUCUCCUAAUAUUUUUGGUAUUACCCGUAAUGAGAAGUUAUAUAAAUUAUCUCUUUAUGCUGA